GAUGAACGCUGGCGGCGUGCCUAAUACAUGCAAGUCGAGCGAACAGACGAGGAGCUUGCUCCUUUGACGUUAGCGGCGGACGGGUGAGUAACACGUAGGUAACCUACCUAUAAGACUGGGAUAACUUCGGGAAACCGGAGCUAAUACCGGAUAAUAUUUCGAACCGCAUGGUUCGAUAGUGAAAGAUGGCUUUGCUAUCACUUAUAGAUGGACCUGCGCCGUAUUAGCUAGUUGGUAAGGUAACGGCUUACCAAGGCAACGAUACGUAGCCGACCUGAGAGGGUGAUCGGCCACACCGGAACUGAGACACGGUCCAGACUCCUACGGGAGGCAGCAGUAGGGAAUCUUCCGCAAUGGGCGAAAGCCUGACGGAGCAACGCCGCGUGAGUGAUGAAGGUCUUCGGAUCGUAAAACUCUGUUAUUAGGGAAGAACAAACGUGUAAGUAACUGUGCACGUCUUGACGGUACCUAAUCAGAAAGCCACGGCUAACUACGAG
rnacentral:rRNA from 1 species